rnacentral:rRNA from 1 species
ACGAACGCUGGCGGAAUGGAUUAGGCAUGCAAGUCGAACGGUGAAGGGGGCAACCCCUGAUCAGUGGCGCAAGGGUGAGGAACACGUGAGCAAUCUACCUCAAAGUUGGGAAUAGCUCCGGGAAACUGGAAAUAAUACCGAAUGUGGCUGCAUAACUGCAUGGUUGUGCUGCUAAAGGCGAAAGCCGCUUUGGGAUGAGCUCGCGUCCUAUUAGCUAGUUGGUGAGGUAACGGCCCACCAAGGCGAAGAUGGGUAGCUGGUCUGAGAGGACGACCAGCCACAUUGGGACUGAGACACUGCCCAGACUCCUACGGGAGGCUGCAGUCGAGAAUCUUGGGCAAUGGGCGAAAGCCUGACCCAGCAAUUCCGCGUGCGGGAUGAAGGUCUUCGGAUUGUAAACCGCUGUCACUGGGGACGAAUUUUGACGGUACCUGGAGAGGAAGACACGGCUAACUACGU